rnacentral:rRNA from 1 species
GGGGGAAACCCUGACCGAGCAAUGCCGCGUGAAUGAUGAAAUUCUUCGGAAUGUAAAAUUCUGUUGUGAGGGAAGAAAGGUAGUAUCAGGAAAUGGGUAUUACUUGACGGUACCUUACUAGAAAGCCCCGGCUAACUAUGUGCCAGCAGCCGCGGUAAUACAUAGGGGGCGAGCGUUAUCCGGAAUUAUUGGGCGUAAAGCGUGCGUAGGCGGCCGUUUAAGUCUGUCGUGAAAGCCCACAGCUUAACUGUGGAGGGUCGAUGGAAACUGGAUGGCUUGAAUCUAGAAGAGGUAAGUGGAAUUCCAUGUGUAGCGGUAAAAUGCGUAGAUAUAUGGAGGAACACCAGUGGCGAAGGCGGCUUACUGGUCUAGCAUUGACGCUGAGGCACGAAAGCGUAGGUAGCAAACAGGAUUAGAUACCCUGGUAGUCUACGCUGUAAACGAUGAGCACUAAGUGUCGGACGUAAGUUCGGUGCUGUAGUUAACGCAUUAAGUGCUCCGCCUGGGGAGUACGGUCGCAAGACUGAAACUCAAAGGAAUUGACGGGGACUCGCACAAGCGGUGGAGCAUGUGGUUUAAUUCGACGCAACGCGAAAAACCUUACCAGGCCUUGACAUCCCUAUGACCGCUCUAGAGAUAGAGUUUCCUCUUCGGAGGUAUAGGUGACAGGUGGUGCAUGGUUGUCGUCAGCUCGUGUCGUGAGAUGUUGGGUUAAGUCCCGCAACGAGCGCAACCCUUAUCAUUAGUUGCUAACAUUAAGUUGAGCACUCUAAUGAGACUGCCAGCGACAAGUUGGAGGAAGGUGGGGAUGACGUCAAAUCAUCAUGCCCCUUAUGGCCUGGGCUACACACGUGCUACAAUGGCGUACAAAGAGCAGCGAAAUUGUGAAAUGGAGCAAAUCUCAAAAAGCC